rnacentral:misc_RNA from 1 species
UCACCCCUCAAGCCCUGUGCUUGGUGUUGGACGGCUUCGGUCGAGUAACGUCGACCCCUCCUAAAGACAAUGACGGCGGCCUGUGGAACCCCCGGUACACUGAGCUUUUAACCGAGCACGUAUUGGAUGAGGGUGCCCAGGACACGGUCUCUCCUCCCUUCAGUGGGAAAAUUUUCAAGG